UAGAAUGUGGUGUAUGAAGGUAGCACGAAGAAUUUUGAGUUCUUAGGACUAGGUUCGAAUCCUAUAGUUCUAGAA
rnacentral:tRNA from 1 species